UACGUAGGGUGCAAGCGUUAAUCGGAAUUACUGGGCGUAAAGCGUGCGCAGGCGGUUAUGUAAGACAGGUGUGAAAUCCCCGGGCUUAACCUGGGAACUGCAUUUGGGACUGCAUCGCUGGAGUGCGGCAGAGGGGGAUGGAAUUCCGCGUGUAGCAGUGAAAUGCGUAGAUAUGCGGAGGAACACCGAUGGCGAAGGCAAUCCCCUGGGCCUGAACUGACGCUAAUGCACGAAAGCGUGGGGAGCAAACAGG
rnacentral:rRNA from 1 species